UACGUAGGAGGCAAGCGUUGUCCGGAUUUAUUGGGCGUAAAGAGCGUGUAGGCGCAGACAGGUCCGUUGUGAAAACUCGAGGCUCAACCUCGAGACGCCGAAUGGAAACCGUCUGGCUAGAGUCCGGAAGAGGAGAGUGGAAUUCCUGGUGUAGCGGUGAAAUGCGUAGAGAUGUGGAGGAAUACCGAUGGCGAAGGCAGCCUCCUGG
rnacentral:rRNA from 1 species